rnacentral:rRNA from 1 species
ACGGGUGAGUAACGCGUGCGUAACCUGACCCUUCAUCGGGGAAUAACACAGAGAAAUCUGUGCUAAUACCGCAUAACGUCUUCUUGCCGCAUGACAGGAAGACCAAAGGGAUUUAUUCGCUGAAGGAUGGACUCGCGUCCGAUUAGCUAGUUGGUGAGGUAACGGCCCACCAAGGCGACGAUCGGUAGCCGAACUGAGAGGUUGAUCGGCCACAUUGGGACUGAGACACGGCCCAGACUCCUACGGGAGGCAGGCAGUGGGGAAUAUUGGGCAAUGGGCGAAAAAGCCUGACCCAGCAACGCCGCGUGAAGGAAGACGGUCUUCGGAUUGUAAACUUCUUUGAUUGGGGAAGAAACAAAUGACCUACCCAAAGAACAAGUCACGGCUAACUACGUGCCAGCCGCCGC